rnacentral:rRNA from 1 species
ACGGGGUCCUCGGACUCUGCAGGAAAAGGUGGCCUCUAUUUAUAAGCUACCGUAUCAUGAUGGGUCCGCGUACCAUUAGCUAGUUGGUGGGGUAAUGGCCUACCAAGGCGACGAUGGUUAGCUGGUCUGAGAGGAUGAUCAGCCACACUGGAACUGAGACACGGUCCAGACUCCUACGGGAGGCAGCAGUGGGGAAUUUUGCGCAAUGGGGGAAACCCUGACGCAGCAACGCCGCGUGAGUGAUGAAGGCUUUCGGGUUGUAAACCGCUGCCAGAGGGGAACAAAUCCAUGGGGGUUCUCCCUUAUGGUUGAGUGAUCCUCAGAGGAAGCGCAGGCUAAGUCCGUGCCAGCAGCCGCGGUAAUACAAGGG